CAAAAACUAUCAUAUUUACAUUAAGAUACAUCAAACUAAAUACUUGAUCACAGUUAUAAAUGGAUUUCAUGCAUAGUUGAUUAAAAAAUGAAUUCAAUAUAUACUGAAACAGUCAACAGUAUCCAUUGAAAGGUGUCUGUACGUGCAGGUGAUUUUUUAAGAAGGCCCGCACUCUCCUUGAAUGUGAAUUAUAAAAUAUUGAACAUCUAGUAUCAAAGAGUAAAAAACAAUUAAAAAACCCAUGGGUUAUUUUAAUUACGAAUAGAUAUUGUGAUUUUAAAUUAUGUAAAAACAUGAAAUUCUAGUUAUCUCCCUUGGCGCUCUUUAGUAAAAGGAGUUGGAAAGAGUGUAUUUAACUCUUCAGUUUAGAAGGGGAGGAUUAAGAAAUGUGUGUGAUUUCAUCUUCAUUUUGGAAGUUUUUCCAGUUUUCAUACAUCCAAGGGGCAUUAGCUCGCUGCUGGGGAUUAGAGUAUGAUGAGUAUCUCUCCUUUCCGUCGAUACUCCCUUAGUACUGCAAUAUACACAGUCGACUGGAAGAAAUCCUCGACCUCAGCAUACAUGAAGCCAUAGCAAGAAGCAGUGAAAGCCACAGCAGAGAUUGGAUGGAGCAUAAUUUUUUCUAUGUCUCGGCGCCUCUAUGGAUGUCAUAUUUAGAUCAGAUGCAAUCUGAGCCUUGUUCUGAACUUCAAAAUCCCCUUUGACAACACCUGCACAGCUGAGGUAGUGUAAACUUAAAAAUUGAGGACAACCAAA